UCAUUUUCUUCACGCUCGAAGGUCACGGAAAUCUUUAAGUAAAACGUGUCAUGUGACGGGGGAGAGGUUGGGUGAGCACGACACGUGUUGCAUCAUUAUCAAGCAGGUGUAAUAGCCGUAAGGCUUAAGAGAGGGGUCAGGGUGAGAAAAAAAUCGUAUAAAACGAGAGAGAAAAGGCAUUUGUAAUCAGUUGAGUGAGAAUCUCCGACACGGCAACAACUGCUGUGCACUAUUUGUCACCAACUGCAUUCUUCAUCGUAUUAACGGUUCGCAACCAAAUGUAACUAUGGUGUCGUGCUGCUGUUGGUUGUCCUUAAUGGAUGGGUCGACUACUGGUGUACCGAUGUCUCGUGGGUAUGGUGGACACCCAACUGCAACGUCACCGUCUUACCAGACAACGUACGCAACAACCGGAUACUACACCACCAAAGCCCAGGACACCGGAGCACCACCAAGGGAGCGGAGUACUACACCACCAAGGGAGCGGAGUAC